rnacentral:rRNA from 2 species
GCCGCCUGCAUCUUCCACCCUGAACGCGCCCCAUCUCCGCUGAUCUGGCAGCUCAGCAGGGUCGGGCCUGGUUAGGGCUUGGAUGGGAGCCGGCUUGGGAGUACCGGGUGCCGGAGGCU